UACGUAGGGUGCGAGCGUUAAUCGGAAUUACUGGGCGUAAAGCGUGCGCAGGCGGUUCUAUAAGACAGAUGUGAAAUCCCCGGGCUCAACCUGGGAAUGGCAUUUGUGACUGUAGGCUAGAGUACGGUAGAGGGGGAUGGGAAUUCCGCGUGUAGCAGUGAAAUGCGUAGAUAUGCGGAGGAACACCGAUGGCGAAGGCAAUCCCCUGGACCUGUACUGACGCUCAUGCACGAAAGCGUGGGGAGCAAACAGG
rnacentral:rRNA from 1 species